rnacentral:misc_RNA from 1 species
GAUGAAGAACGUAGCGAAAUGCGAUACGUAAUGUGAAUUGCAGAAUUCAGUGAAUCACCGAAUCUUUGAACGCAUAUUGCGCUCUUUGGUAUUCCGAAGAGCAUGCUUGUUUGAGUAUCAGUAAACACCUCAACCUCUUCUUGAUUUUUCAAAAGGAGGGUGGACUUGAGCUAUCCCAACAACCUUUACCGGUCGGCGGGCGGCUUGAAAUGCAGGUGCAGCUGGACUUUUAUCUGAGCUAAAAGCAUAUCUAUUUAGUCCUCGUCAAACAGGAUUAUUACUUUUGCUGCAGCUAACAUAAAGGAUAAUUGUCCUCUUUGCUGACUGAUGCAGGAUUUUACGACACUUUAUGUGUUGUUCAACUCGAUCUCAAAUCAAGUAAGACUACCCGCUGAACUUAAGCAUAUCAAUAAGCGGAGGA